rnacentral:misc_RNA from 1 species
CCGAGUUACAACUCCCAAACCCCUGUGAACAUACCUAUAUGUUGCCUCGGCGGAUCAGCCGCGCCCCGUAAAACGGGACGGCCCGCCGCAGGAUCCACAAACUCUGUUUUUAUUGUAAACUUCGAGUAAACAAACAAAUAAAU